rnacentral:SRP_RNA from 1 species
GCUGGGUGCGGUGGCGCGUGCCUGUAAUCCAAGCUACCGGGAGGCUGAGGUUGGAGGAUCGUUUGAGCUCAGGAGCUCUGAGCUGCAGCAGGCUAUGUCGAUCGGGUGUCCGCACUAAGUUCGGCAUUGAUAUGGUGAUCCUGGGGGAGCCCGGGACCACCAGGUCGUCUAAGGAGGGGUGCACCGGCCCAGGUCGGAGACGGAGCAGGUCAAAGCCCCCGUGUCGCUCAGUAGUGGGAUCGCGCCUGUGAAUAGAUGCUGUAGCGCAGCCUGAGCAAUACAGCGAGACCCAAUCUUUA